rnacentral:rRNA from 1 species
GACGAACGCUGGCGGCGUGCCUAAUACAUGCAAGUUGAGCGCUGAAGGUUGGUACUUGUUCCAACUGGAUGAGCAGCGAACGGGUGAGUAACGCGUGGGGAAUCUGCCUUUGAGCGGGGGACAACAUUUGGAAACGAAUGCUAAUACCGCAUAAAAACUUUAAACACAAGUUUUAAGUUUGAAAGAUGCAAUUGCAUCACUCAAAGAUGAUCCCGCGUUGUAUUAGCUAGUUGGUGAGGUAAAGGCUCACCAAGGCGAUGAUACAUAGCCGACCUGAGAGGGUGAUCGGCCACAUUGAGACUGAGACACGGCCCAAACUCCUACGAGAGGCAGCAGUAGGGAAUCUUCGGCAAUGGACGAAAGUCUGACCGAGCAACGCCGCGUGAGUGAAGAAGGUUGUCGGAUCGUAAAACUCUGUUGGUAGAGAAGAACGUUGGUGAGAGUGGAAAGCUCAUCAAGUGACGGUAACUACACAGAAAGGGACGGCUAACUACGUG